rnacentral:lncRNA from 1 species
AUGUGUGGGAGGAGAGGGCUUGGCCAGGAAAGAGAUGUGAUGUGGUGGGGGAUUCCCGGGUACAGGUGUAGAAUCCCACGGUGUCAGUCCCACGCUCUGCAGAUGCACAGCGUCUGGGAAAGAGGAUUAUGGAAUGAGCUGUGCCGGCCUUUCUUCCCAGGUCACCCCAGACCGUGCUGCCAGUCUCAGCUGGCUUCGGGGCUGCCGGUUCUCUCCUCCCACUGCAGCGUGUCAGGGCAGAGCCAUCCCGUGAGGAGCCUGGGGACAGCUGACCAAACAGAGAGCAUCGGUAGACAGCUGAGCUGCCACGGUCAUGGUCGUGGUCAUGAGCCCACAGCCCAGGACCACUUGCCAUUGGUGAUGCUUGGGUCUGAGCAGCAGAUUGAAGUGCAAAGCCCAUUUUUUGGGAGAGGUUGGACCGGUUGUAUUCAUGAAUCAAGCCAUCCCUCUGUCUGUCUCUGAACCUGUUCUUUCACUUGUUUGGGGGAAUUAAGGAAUAACUGGGAGAUGAAACAGGAAACUUUAUGACACACUUGCUUGAAAAUGACACAGGACUCAGCCCCUCUGCAUCACCUCUACCUGCUGCCCACAGCCGAAUGCGGGGGAAGGGCUGGCCCUGGGACCUGAUUCCAACCGCCGUGGACUCGACGUUCAGUGUGAUGUGUCUGCCAUACUGUGGUCAUGGGCUAGUCUGGUCGGUUUCCUAUGUAGCUGGCCACUCUCAGUGUAUCUUUGCCCCUUUUCCUUCAUUAAAAGCAUAACUAAAGAAAAAUGGAUUGUUUACUUAUUGUUGCUGUUCAUCCGCUAAGUUGUGUCUGACCCUUUGAGACCCCAUGGGCUGUAGCACUCCAGGCUCCUCUGAACUCCACGAUCUCAAUAGCUCUGUUUAAAUCUCAAUGUAAAGGAGACCAAAUAAUGUUUGAGAUUCAUUUCUCUAGGACCACAGAGAAACCAUGUCAUAACCACACAGCUCAUUAUGACAGCUUCUAGAAGAAGUGUGUUGAACUUGAAUCACUUAUUACUCAGUCUGGUCUGCCCUGCCUUUUCUUCUCUCUCUGGAAGCCCUCUCUUGAAUCAGUACUGGCAAGUUGACACUUGAGAAAAAUCCUGGGAGAUAUUUGGAAGUCUCUUCCCACACCCUCUCUGAUCAUGGCCUACAGACGGUGGCCCUGAAUCGUCACCAACCUUGAGCUUGCUACUGCAGACUUCUGUCUUCUCAGCUGCCCCUCUCCUUCCCUCUGCACAUCAGCCACUCAUUCACUGUUUCAUGCCACAAGGGUUUUUGGGCUUCUCUAUGCCAGGUUCUGAAGACAAGGAUGAGGAUGGGGUCAGUCUGCUUGGCCUUCCCAACACCUCUAGUCUAGUUCUGUGUGAGCCUCUCUAGGCUUCACUCACCAAGUAUAGUGGGUGCUAGACAGUUCAUUACAGACCAUAGAUGCCCAGAUUUUUUAAAUCCACCCUUCACAUUGGAGCCCCUAGAAAUGGCACCUAAAUA